rnacentral:rRNA from 1 species
CAGCAGGCGGGAAAACUUUACAAUGCGGGAAACCGUGAUAAGGGAACACCGAGUGCCAGCAUCAUAUGCUGGCUGUCCAGAUGUGUAAACUACAUCUGUUAGCAAGGGCCGGGCAAGACCGGUGCCAGCCGCCGCGGUAACACCGGCGGCCCGAGUGGUGACCGUUAUUAUUGGGUCUAAAGGGUCCGUAGCCGGUUUGGUCAGUCUUCCGGGAAAUCUGAUAGCUUAACUGUUAGGCUUUCGGGGGAUACUGCCAGUCUUGGAACCGGGAGAGGUGAGAGGUACUACAGGGGUAGGAGUGAAAUCUUGUAAUCCCUGUGAGACCACCUGUGGCGAAGGCGUCUUACCAGAACGGGUUCGACGGUGAGGGACGAAAGCUGGGGGCACAAACCGGAUUAGAUACCCGGGUAGUCCCAGCCGUAAACUAUGCUCGUUAGGUGUCAGGCAUGGCGCGACCGUGUCUGGUGCCGCAGGAAGCCGUGAAGCGAG